rnacentral:lncRNA from 1 species
ACUAGUCCAAUGGGGGAAGGGUGGCUCUCCCUUUUAAAGUGGCUUCCUCCUCCCAAGUUAAGCGAGGUGGGAUAAUUCUGAUGCUCACACGGUCACCGUCUGACUACAAUUGGGCCAACUGGGCCAAUUGCGUCUUUGCCAACGGGUAAUAGUGGAGGAUGUCCUCAUCAUUCCCACCUUCUUAAAAUGGGCCCAAGCUCUGAUACCAGAUGAUACACUCAGCCUAGGUGGGGUUGGCCGAGGCCCAACAAUUUAGGGUUGCCCGAAGCCCAAUAGUUCAUUAAGCACACCCAACUCAGGGAAAGGCCCAAUCGCCCCAAAAGACUAGUCCAAUGAGGGAAGGGUGGCUCUCCCUUUUAAAGUGGCUUCCUCCUCCCAAGUUAAGCGAGGUGGGAUAAUUCUGGGGAUCACACGGUCACCGUUCGACUACAAUUGGGCCAAAUGGGCCAAUUGCGUCUUUGCCAACGGGAAAUAGUGGAGGAUGUCCUCAUCAUUCCACCUUCUUAAAAUGGGCCCUUGCUCUAAUACCAGAUGAUACACCUAGCCUAGGUUGGGUUGGCCGAGGCCCAACAAUUUAAGGUUGCCCGGAGCCCAACAGUUCAUUAAGCACACCCAACUCAGAAAAAGGCCCAAUCGCCCCAAAAGACUAGUCCAAUGGGGAAGGGUGGCUCUCCCUUUUAAAGUGGCUUCCUUCCCCCAAGUUAAGCGAGGUGGGAUAAUUCUGAGGCUCACACGGUCACCGUCCGACUACAAUUGGGCCAACUGGGCCAAUUGCGUCUUUGCCAACGAGUAAUAGUGGAGGAUGUCCUCAUCAUCAUUGUCCUCCUCUUGAGGUGGCUCAUCCUCUUGAUCUUCAUUUUCAUCAUCUUGGGCCUAAUCCUCAUCUUGAGUUGGUGGAGAUGCUUGCAUGGAAGAUGAUGGUUGAUCUUGUGCUUGUGUGGGCUCUUCGAAUUCCUUAGGACACACAUCCCCAAUGGACAUGUUCCUUAGCGCGACGCAUGGAGCCUCUUCAUCUUCUAGUUCAUCAAGAUCAACUUGCUCCACUUGGGAGCCAUUAGUCUCAUCAAACACAAUGUCACAAGAAACUUCAACUAAUCCAGUGGAUUUGUUGAAGACUCUAUAUGCCCUUGUGUUUGAGUCAUAUCCUAGUAAAAAGCCUUCUACAGCCUUAGGAGCAAAUUUAGAUUUUCUACCUCUUUUAAUAAGAAUAAAGCAUUUACUCCCAAAGACUCUAAAAUAUGAAACAUUGGGCUUUUUACCAGUGAGGAGUUCAUAUGAUGUCUUCUCGAGGAUUUGGUGAAGAUAUAACCGGUUGAUAGAGUAGCAGGCGGUGUUAAUCGUCUCGGCCCAAAACUGAUCUGGUGUCUUGUACUCGUCAAGCAUGGUUCUUGCCAUAUCCAGUAGAGUUCUAUUUUCCUCUCCACUACACCAUUUUGUUGAGGUGUGUAGGGAGAAGAGAACUCAUGCUUGAUGCCCUCUUCCUCAAGAAAACCUUCAAUUUGUGAAUUCUUGAAUUCCGUCCCAGUAUCACUUCUUAUCUUUUUGAUUUUCAAUCUGAACUCAUUUUGAGCCCGUCUCAAGAAUCCUUUUAAUGUCUCUUAGGUUUGAGAUUUUUCCUGCAAAAAGAAUACCCAAGUGAAGCAAGAAUAAUCAUCCACAAUAACUAGAUAGUACUUACUCCCGUCGAUGCUUAUGUAAGCGAUCGAGCCGAAUAGAUCCAUGUGAAGCAACUCGAGUGGCAUGUUCGUCGUCAUUACGUUCUUGUGUGGAUGAUGAGCGCCAACUUGCUUUCCUGCUUGACAUGCACUACAAACCCUUUCUUUCUCAAAAUGAACAUUUGUUAGUCCUAAAAUGAGUUCUCCCUUUAGAAGUUUGUCGAGAUUCUUCAUUCCAACAUGGGCAAGUCGGCGAUGCCAGAGCCAUCCCAUAUUAGUCUUAGCAAUUAGGCAAGUGUCAAGUUCAGCUUGGUUAAAAUCAACUAAAUAUAGCUGACCCUCUAACACUCCCUUAAAUGCUAUUGAAUCAUCACUUCUUCUAAAGACAGUAACACCUACAUCUGUAAAUAGACAGUUGUAGCCCAUUUUGCAUAAUUGAGAAACAGAAAGCAAAUUGUAAUAUAAAGAAUCUACAAGAAAAACAUUGGAAAUAGAAUGGUCAGGAGAUAUAGAUAUUUUACCCAAACCUUUGACCAAACCUUAAUUUCCAUCCCCGAAUGUGAUAGCUCAUUGGGGAUCUUCAUUUUUCUCAUAGGAUGAGAACAUUCUUUUCUCCCCUGUCAUGUAGUUUGUGCACCCGCUAUCGAUUAUCCAACUUGAACCACCGGAUGCAUAAACUUACAAAACAAAUUUAGGCCUUGUUCUUAUGUACCCAAACGGUCUUGGGUCCUUUCACAUUAGAAACAAGCACCUUGGGUACCCAAACACAAGUCUUUAGACUCUUGUGUUUGCCCCCAACAUAUUUGGCAACUAUUUUGCCUGAUUUGUUAGUUAAAACAUAAGAUGCAUCAAAAGUCUUAAAAGAAACAUUAUGUUCAUUUGAUGCAACAAGAAUUUUCUUUCUAUGCAAUUUAACAUCAGUGGUAUGCCUAGAGCUAGAAGCCUCAUUUUUGUACAUAAAUGCAUGGUGAGAAAUAUUGUGAGGUUUCCUAGCAUGAAUCUUCCUAAUUUUAUGUUCGGGAUAGUUUGCAGGAUAUAAAAUGUAACCCUCACUAUACUGAACCAUGGGAGCCUUGCCCUUAACAAAAUUUGACAAUCUUUUAGGGGAAUUAAGCUUGACAUUGCUCCCCUAUUGGAAACCAAUGCCAUCCUUAAUGCCAGGACGUCUCCCAUUAUAAAGCAUACUACGAGCAAAUUUAAAAUUUUCAUUUUCGAGCUCAUGCUCGGCAAUUUUAGCAGUUAAUUUAGCUAUGUGAUCAUUUUGUUGUUUAAUCAUGGCAAGGUGAUCAUCUAUAGCUUCAACAUUAAUAUCUCUACAUCUAGUGCAAAUAGUCACAUGAUCAACAGUAGAUGUAGAUGGUUUGCAUGCAUUUAAUUCCUCAAUCUUAGCAUUUAAUUUAAUAUUCUCAUCUCUAAGGCAGGAAAUAAAAUCAUUGCAAACAUUCAAUUCUUUAAUCUUAGAAACUAAACUAGCAUUUUAUUUCUAAGACUAGAAAUUGAAUCAUGACAAAUGUUAAGCUCUUUAGUUAGGUUUUCACAUUUUUCUACUUCCUGAGCAUAAGCAUUUUUCAGUUUAACAAUUUUUUUUUGUUUUCUUUAAUAAGGAAGUCCUCUUGGCUAUCCAAGAGUUCAUCCUUCUCAUUAAUGGCUUCAAUUAAUUCAUUUAAUUUUUUUCUUUUGGUCCAUGCUAAGGUUGGCAAAAAGAGACAUUAAAUUAUCUUCACUAUCGCUAAAGCUACCCUCAUCACUAGAUGUUGUAUAUUUGGGGGUGGCUCUAGUGUGUACCUACUUUUUCUUGUUGUCCUUAGCCAUGAGACACUUGUGGCCGACGUUGGGGAAGAGGAGGCCUUUGUUGACUGCGAUGUUGGCGGCGUCCUCGUCAGAGAAGGAGUCAGUGGAGCUCUCGUCGAAAUCCCAUUCCCGGCAUAUGUGGGCAUCGCCGCCCUUUUUCUUGUUGUACCUCUUCUUUUCUUUCUUAUUCCCCUUCUUAUCGUCAUCCCUGUCACUUCCACUAGAGAUUGGACAUUUUGCUAUGAAAUGACCGGACUUACCACACCGGUAGCACACUUUCUUGGAGCGGGACUUGUAGUCUUUCCCCCUGUUUGUUUGAGGAUUUGGCGGAAGCUCUUGAUGAUGAGUGCCAUUUCCUCGUUGUCGAGCUUGGAGGCGUCGAUUGGAAGUCUACUUGGUGUAGACUCCUUCUUCUCUUCUUCCGUCGCUUUGAAUGCGACGGGUUGCACCUCGGAUGUGGAGGUGGCGCCUUGCUCCAAGUUGACAAUGUGUUUGGAGUCUUUGAUCAUAAGUUCAAAGCUCACAAACUUGCCAAUUACCUCCUCGGCAGACAUUAGUUUAUAUCUAGGAUCCCCAUGUAUUAAUUGAACUUGAGUAGGAUUACGAAAAACAAGGGAUCUUAGAAUAACCUUGACCAUUUCAUGGUCGUCCCACUUGGUGCUCCCGAGGUUGCGCACUUGGUUGACCAUCGUCUUGAGCCGGUUGUACAUGGCUUGUGGCUCUUCCCCUUUGUUGAGGACGAAUCGACCGAGCUCUCCCUCGAUCGUCCCGCGCUUGGUGAUCUUGGUCACCUCGUCCCCUUCGUGCACGGUUUUGAGGACGUCCCAAAUUUCUUUGGCGCUCUUUAACCCUUGCACCUUGUUAUACUCCUCUCGACACAUGGAGGCAAGGAGUAUAGACGUGGCUUGGGAGUUAAAGUGACUAAUUUGGGCGGUCUCGUCCGAGUCGUAGUCCUUGUCCCCCACCUUAGGUACCUGCGCUCCAUACUCAAUAAUAUCCCAAAUACUUUUGUGGAGUGAGGUUAGAUGGUGCCUCAUUUUAUCACUCCACAUACAAUAAUCCUCACCAUCAAAAUAUGGUGGUUUACCUAGGGGAAUGGAAAUACAGGGAUAGCGUAGGGGCAUCUUACUAUACUUCUUGCGCUCAUGGCGCUUAGAAGCGAUGGACAAGUCGGAGCUUGAUGUGGAAGGUGACGAAGAGUCAAUCUCGUAGUAGACCACCUUCUUCAUCUUCUUCUUCUUGUCACCUUUUCGAUGCGACUUGAUGGAGGAAGAAGAUUCCUCCUUGUUUUUGUUGCUGGACUCUCUUGAGAGUGUCCUUCCCGAGCUUGCGGACUUGUCGCCGGUCAUGAUCUCCCUCUUGGCGUGAUCUCCAGACAUCACUUCGAGUUGGUUAGACUCUUAAUAAAGCACUUGCUCUAAUACCAAUUGAAAGUCACCUAGAGGGGGGGGGGGGAAUAGGCGAAACAUGAAAUUUAUAACUUUAAGCACACACUACAAGCCGGGGUUAGCGUUAGAAUUAAAUUCAAGUCCGAAAGAGAGGGGAGAACAAAUCAAACAAGAAUCAAGGCAAGAGAACACGGUGAUUUGUUUUACCGAGGUUCGGUUCCAAAGAACCUAGUCCCCGUUGAGGAGGUCACAAAGAUCGGGUCUAUUUUAACCCUUUCCCUCUCUCAAACGGACACUUAGACCGAGUGAGCCUUCUCCUUAAUCAAUCGGGUCACUAAGACCCCACAAGGACCACCACACACUUACGUGUCUCUUGCUUUGAUUACAAGUCACUUGAGAACAAGAAUGAGAAUGAAGAAAAGCGAUCCAAGAAACUAGAGCGCAAAAGAACACGAACACAUUAUCUCACAAGUCACUAAAUGUUUGAGUUGAAUUCUAGGCUUGGAGAGGGUUUGAUCUUUGGAAAUGUGUCUAGGAGUGAAUGCACUAGCUCUUGUAUUGAAUGUGAUCCCUAAAAAACUUGGAUGCCAAAGGUUGUGGUGGUUAGGGGGUAUUUAUAGCCCUCAACCACCUUGUUAGCCGUUGGGGAGGAUGCUGGCGAUGGGUGCACUGGACAUGCAAUGUUCCUUGUCCGGUGCGCCACCACGUCCCCCAACCGUUAGGGUUCGGAGCUGGUCGACCAUUGGAGGCUUUGUCUCUUGCGGCACCGGACAGUCUGGUGCCACACUAGACAGUUCGGUGCCACUCUGACUUCCUGCUCUGACUUCUACGCUGCACUGUUGAUAUGUUAGAGUCGACCAAAGCGUGCAGAUAGCCGUUGCUCCGCUGGCACACCGGACAGUCUGGUGAAUUAUAGCGGUGCGUGGCUUCGUUUUCCUGAGAAUGGCUGGUUGACACCUAUACGGUCCUGGUGCACCGGACACUGUGUUGAACCUUAUGCACUUGUAAUACAUGAAUUCUAGACAAACUAGUUAGUCCAUGCGUUUGUGUUGAUCAUCAACCACCAAAAUUAAUUAUAGGAAAUGGUUAACCCAAUUUCCCUUUCACGGGCCUUCUUCCACCUCUGGCCACGCGCCGCGUGCCUUGGGCGUGCGCCCACGCCGCGCCCCCGGCCGAGCCCGACCCCGUGCCCCUGGCCGCACCAGGUCGCGUCCCCUCAUGUCCCUCGUGUGCCCGAAAUUUCCAUCUCCUCCCCUUCCUCGCCCCCUCAUAACCUCCCUCAAUCAAAGGUGUAACCGACACCAUUAAUGGCCGAUUGAAGGAGCCGCCGACGCCCAUUUACCUCCCCUGGCAUCUCUCUCUCCUCGACCCCUCUCUAUAAGUAGACCAGCCGAGCUUUGCUCCCUCCCUACCAUAUUCGCCCAAGCUCUCCCUCUCCUCUCUCUCCCUGCCCGCGCUCGCGCUCUGUUUGCCGGAGUUCCUGUGCGCCUCGACAUAACCGCGGAGUCGUGCUCUACUCGUUGAGCCACCAUGCCGGAGCCCCGCCCGACGCCGAGACCCCCUAUCCCGCUCCCUGCUCGGCCGACCCCCCCCCCUCGUCGAACCUUCCUACCCGUUGACCUCCCUGCACACGAGCUCAAGGUAGAAGAAAGCCAUUUUUCAUUUUGGCCCUCCGAUUUUCUGUAAAAUAUUCCUGUAUUUUCUGCAGUACAAAUGUAUUUAAAAGAAGUCCAAAAAUCUUACAUACUACUCCUCAAAGUAUACGUGUAAUUGUGAAUCAACCCAGACAAUAGUAUUUUGGAUAUGGACAUUAUUUUUAUAGUUCGAAAAAUAAAUAGGUUAUGUUACGAUUCUUUAAUUUUGUGAUGUAGAACUAGAAACACAUGCGACUAACUUCUCAUGUUAGCACAUAAAACGAUAUCAUGUUAAUAGUGGUUUAAGUAAAAUUUUACUGAUAUAAGAAAAUGAAAGAGGUACUAGGCCAAUUCUUGUCGGUCACGUUAAAAUAUAUAUUUUCACUAAUCAGGAUAUAAGUAUUCGUACGUAUAUCACUUCAUCACUUAGAAUUAGUAAAAUAUCUAUUCAUGACGAAAUAACUAUGAUUAUGCUACUAAAGUCCGAAAUUAGUAAUUUACAUUAAUUCUUAGAAUAUUAAUGUUAUGUGAUUUAUAAAUAAACAUUUUAGCAAUACGUAUAAUUUCUAUAUAGAAAGGAAAGGAUAAAACCCAAAAGACUAUUAUUAGUCAUAAAGAAAAUAAUUAAUUAGUAGUUAUUUUCUGUAAAAUUUGUAAAUCAUUUUAUCUACGUUAUGUUAUAUAAAAUAGCUUCGUAGUCACAUGACCAUAUAAUUUUCACCCAUGAUAACUCAAAGUGGAAAAUUUAGUGGAUUUAUAAAACAGUUAUGAUUUAGACAUUAUUUAUAAGUAUAGUUGCGUGAUAUGUGAUUAUUUAUGUAAUGGUGAAUGUUACCCAUGUAACGGUGUAUGUUUAUUUAUUUGGUGUAUGUAUUCUUUUAUAUGUACGAUAUGUGAAUCGAUGUUAGAAGCUGACUGUGAGGUAGACAGUGCUAUAAUGGCUCUGGCUUUGGUCAUUAGCUCUAUAGACUUAGUGCUUAGCAACCCUACCUGAAAGAUGGGCAAGCAAGGGUGGCAGUGGUUUGGUGGCAGCUCAUGUUAACAUGUGGUGUUAGUCUUGGCUAAGUUACCUCACCCAGAGGGCCAUCAAUACUGACGUGGAAACCUUAGCGGGUGGCUUUGUACUAAGGAUAAAUUGUGAAAGCCUCAUAGUGGAUCCCUAGACAUUCACCUAGCAAGUGUUUACGGGUUCGAUCAACCUAGGCUAGAUAGGAUACACGGCUUGUGGGUAAAGUUGUACCACCUCCGCAGAGUGUAAAACUGAUAUGUCAGUCAUGCUCACGGUUAAGAGCAACCUGGACCCUCACAUGAUCAGAAUGCGAACUAUGUACGUGCCAGGAUCAGAACUCACGUACACAGCGAUUACAUAAAUGAACAUCAUCACACAAUGCUCGAGUAAUAUCAUAAAAGAGUACUUAUUACAUCAUAGAGUCAUAGACAUCCACAUAGUCAUUGUCUUAACAAGUAAAUCAAAGUACUAGCGAAACGCAGUAAAGAUAAGGCCUUCAUAGGCAGCUGACUGGGGGUUGCCGCCAACCCACACCUAGAAUUCGUCGUAGUCUUGGAACUCCUGGAAGUCUCCUUCCACGGCUUCACCUUCUCCUGAGCAGUGGUUACAAUGCGGACAACCUGGUGUUUUGUGGUAAAGCAAGGAUGAGUACACAUCAACGUACUUAGCAAAUGUCCCGUUUGGCUGAAGUGGACUAGCUUUAUGUGGGGUUAGGCUCAAGCAGUUGCUUUUAGUUGGUCAGGUAUUUAUCAUUAGUAGAAGCCAGAUUUUAGCAUUGACCAACCCGUAAACCAUUUCCUCAUCGAGGAAACAACAUCAUCAUAGUCGAACCAAAACCAUAACAUAAUCCUUGUAUCUCGAACCAUCUGUAUCUCUAAUCAAAGAGGAUCCCAAGGCUGCUCUUAACCGUGAGCACGACUGAUAUAUCAGUUUUCACUACCCUCUGCAGAGGUUGCACACUUUACCCAUGAGUCAUGAUUCCCUUUCUACCCGGGGAGAGCUAAUCCCCAUUGACCACUACCUAGGUGGUCCGGCAGGGCAUCACUACGUAGCCUUUACAAAGAUUCCCUAGAGAUCAUAGCUGCCCGUUAGGUUUCUCCAGUUUGAUAAACACAGUACCCCUCCCCGCAGGAGAGUGACUAACAAAGAGCAAAACGAAAGAACCUCGGCACUCAGCCUCGGCAGAGCAAGCACUGUGCCUGGACCCCAUUGACGGCACGACGGCUAAGCAACUACACCUCCAGUUCAUCUAAUUAAUCAGCUAAGUGCAUCCCAUUUCACCCUCAUGGUUGUACUGUUAUCCCGGGUGGUCUCUCAACGAACAAGUCCUUACGGAGAGGUACUCAGGAAACAGCCUGAGCCCCCUAGAGUAUCACAAGAUCAUCAACAUCAUCAGGAUAACAGUAUCAUAAAUAGUCACAUCAUGUUCAUUGAUUAAGUUAAGGCAAUAGCAGAGUGCUAACCAUAACAACCCAUAAGGUCAUCAAGGAUAAAGUAAAGUGUAAAGCUAGUCAAUCCUUAGGUUUCAAGUAAGUAAUGCGGGAUGGUAAGUUAUAAGUAGAUAGGACAUAAUGGGUCAGAGGACACUUGCCUUCACCAAACUGCUGAUCAGGAACUUCCUCUGCAACUUCCUCGGGAAACACAGACUGCUCGUUGUCUACGUAAAGUAAUCAUUCACACUAUGCACUUGGGAGGAUAACAAACAAAAGCAACAUACCAAACAUAUGCAGCAAAGAGAUCACAAGUUCAUAGUAGAAAAGGGAUAGGCACUCUGGUGUUCCCUAGGUCUGGGGUAGAGGACUAUACAAAGUGAUUCAUUAUCCACUAAUCAGGUUUAAGUCAGUGGUGGGAUUAAAUCACUACAUGGUUUUAAGUUCCUAAACUUAGGUGUUUAAGUCCAUAAACUUAAGUAUUCUAACUUUUAUUAAAGUCUACCAACUUCUAAUUAUUUCAAAUAGGGUUCCAAUAGCCUUAAUCCUAUCCUAGUGAUUAACUAUUAAUUGGUACAUGGAAACAGCAGGGAAACAUUGUUUAAAUAGAUAGACAAAAACAUCAUGAGCAUUUUGCAAUUUGAAGCACCUAAUUUGGAGUUCAUAUGACAAAGUUAUGAAUUUUACAAGUUUAGGGGUUAAAAAUAUACCCUAAAUACCUAUUUUGAAUUAAAUAAAAGGUCCAGGGGCCUAACUGAGAGAAACCAGGGACGGCGGGUUCAAAUUCCAGAAAACCGGGGGUCUCUUUAAGAAAAUGCGCAGGCGAAGGGGUAUCGGGCUACUACGGCCGUCGGAUCUAAGGCGAACGGCCAGGAUUAGAUCCUGCGGGCGGGCGCGCGAGCGCGCGGCGGCCUGGGCGGCUGACAGGCGGGGCCGGCGGGCAGAGCGGGGCGCGGGCAGGCUGACAGGCGGGGCCGGCGGGCAGCGCGGGGCGCGGGCAGGCUGACAGGCGGGGCCGGCGGGCAGAGCGAGCGCGCGGGCGGGCUGACAGGCGGGGCCCAAACGGCAGGGAGACGGGGUGCGGGGGAAGUGGGCCUGGGCCGCUGGAUCUCCGGCGGACGGCCAGGAUUAGGCUUGACCUAAUUAAAACGGGACCGCCCGAUCUGGGACGGACGGUGGGGAUCGGGUGGCCGGCCUGGGCUUCUCCUACGGCUAGCUGGGGCGGCGGCGCUCGUCCCCGCGGCGGAGGACUCGCCGGAGACGAGGGGCGCGGGCGUUUGGCGGGCCUCCGAGGCGACCUGAGCGGCCGGGAAGGUUGGGGAGGGCACGGGGAGUCCUCUGGUGGGGUCUGGGUCGGGGCAGGGGCACCGGAGGGGGGUGGUUCACGGCGGAGCGGCUCGGCGGCGGCAUAAAUCUACUCCGGCGAGGAAUUAAACAUGGCAGAAGGCAAUACACGGGUCGAUAGGGGUCGGGAGAGGUUCCUUACCUCAAGGCGGGCUCCGGGGACUCCUCGGCGGUGGCAAUGGCUCGACGGUGCCCCGGGGCGACGGUGGCGGACCUCCGCGGCUGCACGGGGAACGGCGGGUGAGCGCGGGCAGAGAGAAAUAGGGAGGGGGAGAGGGAAUUGGGGCGCGUCCCGGGUUGCGGACGCCGGGGCGAAGCUCACCGUGGCAACGGGCACGGCGGAGCUCCAACAGCGGUCGGGAAACGGGCUCGGGACGGCGGGGGUUUGUGGCGGCGGUGCUCUGGCGUGCGCGCAGCGAGGGAGAGGUGGAAGAGGGGUCUGCUGGAGCGCAAAUGGGGGAGGGGGAGAGGGCGAGUGGGGCUCGGGGCUCAAGUGGCCAGGGGCGGGGCGGUUGCGAGCUCCACGCGCGACGUGGGCGCGGAGAAGGCGGCCGCGCGCAGCUCGGGCGGCGGUUACGCGAGGACGACGGGGCUGACAAGCCGGGCCCGCGAGCAGAGAGAGAGGGUAAAGCGGGGGCGGGCACGCGGAAGGCGGCCGCGCUGACGGGCGGGCCCGCCAGGGCAGAGAGAGCGGGGGGGAGAGAGGCGCGCGCGCGGGAUGGGCUUAGUGGGCCGAAAGGCCGAGGGGGCGGCGGGGUUGGGCUUCUUUCCUCUUUUCUUUAUUCUGGAAUUGUUUUCUCUUUUCUUUUUAUUUUCUCUAUUUGAUUCAAAUCCAAGUGAGCCACAAAUUCAAAUUAGACUUUCCAAGAAUUAUGCACCAAGCAAAAGUGAAAUCUAGGGUUCAACAUGAUGCAACAAUUCAUACCCCCUUAGGGUUUAACCUAUUAAACUAUAAUUACAAAUAAAAUAAGCACUUUUCUCCUAUAGAAAUGAAAAAGAAAAGAAUAAGGAAGGAUGAGAAAAGGGAAGUAACACCUGAAUUUGUGAAUAUGAGCAAAGAAAUUUUAUACCCCCAAAUUCAGGGUGUUACAAACCUAUCCCCCUUAAAAGAAUCUCGCCCCGAGAUUCAAGGUUGGUCAGCAAAGAGUUCAGGGUAUUUGGCCUUCAGAUCAUCUUCUCGUUCCCAGGUUGCUUCUUCCUCAGAGUGGUGACCCCAUCUGACUUUGCACAUUCUGAUGGUGUUCCUCCGGGUGACUCUGUCUGCAAACUCCAGAAUCUGCGUUGGCUUUUCUAUGUAUGUCAGAUCCUCCUGGACCUCCAAACCUUCCACUGGCAACUGUUCUUCUGGUACUCGCAGACACUUCUUCAAUUGCGAUACGUGGAACACGUUGUGCACAGCUGACAAGCUCUCUGGUAGGUUGAGCUGGUAGGCCACUUCUCCACGCUUUGCUUGAAUCUGAUAUGGUCCGACGUACCGGGGUGCUAACUUGCCUUUAACUCCGAACCUUCUGACUCCCCUGAUAGGUGACACCUUCAGAUAGACGUAGUCUCCCACUUCAAAACUCAGUUCCCUUCUCCUUCUGUCAGCAUAGCUUCGCUGUCUUGACUGGGCUGUCUUAAGGUUCUCCCGAACCAUUUUGAUAUUCUCUUCGGCUUCAAGCAAGAUGUCAGGGCCAAACACCUGUCUCUCUCCAGGCUGGUCCCAAUGCAGCGGAGUCCUACAACUCCGUCCAUAGAGUGCCUGAAACGGUGACAUCUUCAAGCUGGCCUGGUAACUAUUGUUGUAGGAGAAUUCUGCAUAAGGUAACCUUUUGUCCCAUCCUGACUUGUCUUGCAACGCACAGGCUCUCAACAUAUCUUCUAGGAUCUGAUUAGUUCUUUCAGUCUGACCGUCUGUCUGCGGGUGAUAAGCUGAGCUGAAGUUCAAAUGCGUGCCCAAAGCUUCUUGUAGUUGCUGCCAAAAAUGAGAGGUGAACUGCGUUCCUCGAUCUGACACUAUCUUCUUCGGCACACCAUGAAGGCAGACUAUCCGUGACAUGUAUAACUCAGCUAGCGUUGCUCCGGUGUAUGUCGUCUUCACAGGUAUGAAAUGGGCCACCUUUGUUAAGCGGUCCACAACCACCCAGAUGGAAUCAUAGCUGGCCCGGGUACGAGGUAGGCCAACUAUGAAAUCCAUCCCGAUCUCAUCCCACUUCCACUGAGGAAUCCGCAAUGGCUGCAACAAUCCGGCAGGCCUCUGAUGCUCUGCUUUGGUUCUCUGACAGCUAUCACAGAUGGCGACAUAUUCUGCGAUCUCUCUUUUCAUGCCAUACCACCAAAACCUCCUUUUUAAAUCCUGGUACAUCUUCUCGCUCCCUGGGUGUAUGGAGUAGGCUGUCUCAUGAGCUUCCUUGAGGAUCAGUUCCCGAAUAGGUUUGAGGUCGGGGACACACAAUCGGUCCUUGAACCAUAUUACUCCCUCUUCGUCCUCUCGAAAGUCUUUGCCUCUUCCUUCUAAGAUCAGCUGCCGGAUCUUGUUGAUGUUUUCAUCAUCCUUCUGCCCUUCUUUGAUCUCCCGCUCUAAGGUGGGCUCUAACUCCAUUGUUACUCCUUGCGUACUGUUCAGGAAACCGAGGCUCAGUCUGUCGAACUCUUUGGCUAACUCAUACGGCAUCGGGUACGAGGCCAACAUAUUGACUUGACUCUUCCUGCUCAGAGCAUCUGCAACAACAUUGGCUUUGCCUGGAUGGUAAUGUAUCUCCAGCUCAUAGUCUUUGAUCAAUUCCAACCAUCUUCGCUGCCUCAUGUUUAACUCUGACUGGGUGAAUAUGUACUUCAGACUUUUAUGAUCUGUGUAGAUGUCGCACUUCUGCCCAUACAGGUAAUGUCUCCAGGUCUUUAAAGCAUGAACCACUGCUGCCAACUCCAGGUCAUGUGUGGGGUAAUUUUUCUCAUGGAUCUUCAGCUGUCGAGAUGAGUAUGCUACAACUCUUCCUUCUUGCAUUAGCACACAUCCCAAUCCGGUGUACGAAGCAUCGCAAUACACUGGGAAUGACUUGUGAACAUCAGGCAGGACUAACACAGGAGCUGUAGUCAAUCUAUUCUUCAGUUCUUCGAAUGCUUCUUGACACUUUUGGGUCCACUUAAACUCAACUUUCUUCGCUAGUAACGCUGUCAUUGGUCUAGCGAUCUUUGAGAAGCCUUCAAUGAAACGCCUAUAGUAUCCGGCCAUUCCAAUGAAGCUCUUGAUCCCACGAACAUCCCUCGGUGCUUUCCAGUUCAGGAUAUCUGCUACUUUCUUUGGAUCCACUACUAACCCAUCUUGAUUUAUGAUGUGACCCAGAAAUAAGACUUCAUGAAUCCAGAACUCGCAUUUGCCCAGCUUGGCAUACAACUGAUGCUCUCGAAGUCUCUGCAAUACCAUCUUCAAAUGCUCCACAUGAUCUUCCUCACUUUGAGAGUAUAUGAGAAUGUCAUCGAUGAACACUACCACAAAUUUGUCUAGAUAGUCCAUGAACACACUGUUCAUCAGAUACAUAAAGAAGGCUGGCGCAUUUGUCAAACCAAAAGACAUAACUGUGAAUUCAUAUAACCCAUACUUGGUGAUGAACGCUGUCUUCGGUAUAUCCGAGGGUCGGAUUCUGAGUUGAUGGUAGCCUGAUCUCAGAUCUAUCUUCGAGAAUACGCUGGCACCUCUGAGCUGGUCGAACAAAUCUUCUAUCCUUGGCAGGGGGUACUUGUUCUUGACAGUGACUUCAUUCAAGGCUCUGUAGUCUAUGCACAUCCUUUUGGUACCAUCUUUCUUCUCUACAAACAACACUGGAGCGGCCCAAGGUGAGGUGCUUGGCCUGAUGUAACCCUUCUCUAACAUCUCAUCUAUCUGCUUCUUGAGUUCCACCAAUUCUGGUCCAGACACUCGAUAGGCUCUUUUGGAAAUGGGGGCGGUACCAGGGAUAAGCUCUAUGGCAAAUUCAACCUUUCUCUCGGGUGGCAUGCCCGUUAGCUCCUCGGGAAACACAUCCGGAAAGUUUGACACAACCUUGAUAGCCUCGAGCGGGUUGGGCUCCUUACUAUCAACUGAAAUCUGGUGACAGACUCCCUCUUCUGACUUAGGCAUCCUUAGCUCGGCCACUACCUCUUCUCCUGACGGGGACUUCAAUGUUACGGUCCUCUUGUCACAACUAACAUUUGCUUCAUACUUCAUUAACCAAUUCAUCCCUAGAAUAACAUCUAUCCCAGGGGUGUCUAUUACUAUUAAGUCACUGGGGAAUCCUAUCCCCCUUAUUUCCACCAUUAUAUUUGAACAUAUUUUAUCUGUUUGCACCUUGCCACCAACCGAAUUAAUCCUCAUGGGCGGCAUCAUUGCCUCUACUGAGAUGUUAUGCAAUUCUACCCAUGUUGCAGUGACAAAAGAAUGAGUUGCACCAGUAUCAAAUAGCACUUUUGCGGGAUGAGAAUCGACUGAGAACAUACCUACUGCCACAUCUGGUGCAUCCUGGAUUGCUUCGGCCUCCAAGUGGUUCACCUUUCCACGGUUGUACGCUUGGUUACGAUUGCCUGCUGCCGGCUGCAGUACACCUUGCCUUGUUGGAGCAUUGGGGUUGGUCUGCUGCUGUGCCAACUUCUUUGGGCACUGCAUCGCCCAGUGGCCUUGAUCUCCACAGUGGAAACAUCCUCUGCCUCCUCCUUGUGCUGGGGCUGCUUGGUUGCUCUGAUUUGUCGCUGGGGCAGGAAGGCGAGGUGCCUGGUUGUUCUGCUUCUGAUACUGAUUACCUCCCUGCUGGCUGUGCUGACGAUACUGCUGCUGCUGCUGCGGGUACUGCCUCUGAAACUGCUGCUGAUGCGGACGCUGAUUCUGAUUCUGAUAUCCCUGUGGGUGACCAGGCCUGCCUUGCUGAGACGAACUGCCUGAGAAACGUGGAUGGCUGAUGCCUCCGGACUGGGGUCCACUCAUCUUGCGCUUCCGAUCUUCCAUAUCCUUACGCUUCUUCUCAGUCAUCACUGCCCUAUCGAUCAGGUGCUGGAAGGUGGGGAAGGUGUGAUUCAUCAGCUGGUAAUGCAGGGGAUCCACCAAACCCCUCAUGAACCUGUACUGCCUCUUAGCAUCAGUGUUGACAUCCUCGGGUGCAUAGCGAGACAGCUGCAGAAACUUGUCUCUGUACUCACUAACAGACAGGGGUCCCUGCUUCAGAGCUAGAAACUCCUCCUUCUUCACGAUCAUCAGUCCCUCUGGCACAUGGUAUCUGCGGAAACUCUCGCUGAAUUCUUCCCAGGUGAUGGCUUCGGGGUCAGCAUGGGUGGCGAGGUAGGACUCCCACCAGGACUGGGCUGCUCCCCUUAGCUGACGGGGACCAUACAGAACCUUCUCCCUGUCGUCACAUUGGGCGGUGCGCAGUUCCCUUUCCACUGCACGCAACCAGUCUUCUGCAUCCAUGGGGUCAGCAGAAUGGGCGAAGGUAGGAGGGUGUCCUCUCAUGAACUCACCACGCUUAUCUCGUGGCAUCUGGGGCAUCUGCACUUGCAAUUGGGGUUGGGGUUGCUGUUGAGCCUGCUGCAUGGCUGCCAGAGUCUGCCCAAUGGCCUGCACUGCUUGAGUCUGCAUCAAGAACAUCUGCUCCACUGACAUUGGGGGUGGUGGGGGAGGCUGCUGUGUUGUUCCUCCUGCUGGUCAUGCUGCUCCUGCUAAGCACGCCUGUUGCAUCGGCGCCUGUUGUCAGACAUCUGUGGAAGACAUUCAUACAUCAGCAUUGAUCUUACAACCCUUCAGCAUAAGAAAAGAGAAUACAGGAUUCUUCAUGACACUGAGUGAACAAAGAGCUUCACUGAUCCUCAUUCAUGAUUCAACACAGCUUCUCAGAUAAGAAAGGAAAGUAGGAGUAAAGGGUUUCCCAACUAAACAACCGACUUCAUUAACAUUACUAGCUAAGCCAAACUGCAGGGGAAACCCACAGGUUGGCAACAGUCAUUACAAAGAUUCGAAUCCAGCACAAGUUCAUCAUAACAAGCAUGAAAGCAACUGAUAAGCAAACUAGCCUAAAUGGAAGCAACUGAUAAGCAAACUAACCUGACUACCUAAGACUAAGACACCUGACUUAAGAAUUAUUACAAACUCCGACGCUAACGAUCUAAGGAUCCAGAUCUAUCCUGGUCUUACAGACGGGGGAACCAUAAGUGUGGUGACCACGUGGCGGUGAGCGGUAUGGGUGCUGAGUCCCAACAGGUGCGGGAGAACCACCCUCCUGGUGAUGGCGCUCUGCCAGCUCAGCACGCAACUCCGCAAUCUCCGUUCGAGCCCUGCUUAGCUCGUCCAGAGAGUGAUCCAGCUCAGUGUUAAGCACCGCGACUAGGUUGACUGUGCUGCUCAACCUAGGGUUAGCCUCACCAACAGGCGAGACAACCACACUCUCCGUGCUGCCAGUAGGGCGGCGGGGGUAGUACCGAAGGUUAAGACCAUCGGCCACCCCACCGAACAAAGAGCAGUACUGGGAGAGUGCACGCCGUGCUGCAUCCUGCAUAGCCGCCUCUGCAGUGUCCCUCUCGGAGAUGGAAUAGUGCUCCGAAACGGCCUCCGCACCCCGGAGGUCAUCCUCCGGACGGCGAACUAGGCAGGUAGCCUCCCAGCGGUCCGGGUACCUCCCGCGACUGUGCUGGUAGACUACACAACGAUACUCGAUCGACCAGGUGUGCCGGUCGAAAGCCUGGCGCAGCAGGGUGUCGAGUGCGUCGUGGAAGUGACAACCGCGAGCGGCGUCACGGGUGAUGGGUCGGGCGACCCAUCCUUCCGCCUCCUGCGGCUCAGAAGACUCCGUGCUGUGGUCUGAGUCGUCGUCGUCGGGGUCUCCUCCAGGAUCUCCUCCAGUAGCUCCUCCAACAGCCGGGACGUCCCGCGGCGGUGCAGGGGGCGCCUCCAGCUGGGCCACAGAGGAACGGGGCCUCACAGAUUCCACCUCUUGCUGGGGUGGGGAGGAAGAGCCCUGCUGCUCUCUGUGCUGGCGCCGGCGUUCCUGCUCCUCACGCAGGCGGUGGUGCAGUCUCUCCAGGUGACUCGACUGACCGGACACGGUGCGGUGCAGAGGACGCUCCGCAAGUCGAGACGGCAGGAAAGGAAUCACCGACUUACGUGCAGUGUGUCUAAGACGAGCCAUCAACAAAAGACACCGUAAGCAUAAGAGUAAGAGCAGAACUAAUAUGACAAGUGAAUGAACCAUAAACAGAACCAGAUAAAAAUUUUAACAAGGUAUAGUAUAGUAUAUAUAUGUAGUAAAACAUAGGGUUGGUCGAGGUGACCGACUUUUGAAGUAACAUCAGAGGUCAAGGUGGGAGGGAAGGUCAAUAGUCCUUAGUACGACCAGUGCUACUCUAGGUCAGCGGUCCUACAGUCAGCACGGCUUUGAUACCACUUAUGUCACACCCGGUUUUGGAAGGCAAACCGAAUGCGAACUAUGUACGUGCCAGGAUCAGAACUCACGUACACAGCGAUUACAUAAAUGAACAUCAUCACACAAUGCUCGAGUAAUAUCAUAAAAGAGUACUUAUUACAUCAUAGAGUCAUAGACAUCCACAUAGUCAUUGUCUUAACAAGUAAAUCAAAGUACUAGCGAAACGCUAUAAAGAUAAGGCCUUCACAGGCAGCUGACUGGGGGUUGCCGCCAACCCACACCUAGAAUUCGUCGUAGUCUUGGAACUCCUGGAAGUCUCCUUCCACGGCUUCACCUUCUCCUGAGCAGUGGUUACAAUGCGGACAACCUGGUGUUUUGUGGUAAAGCAAGGAUGAGUACACAUCAACGUACUCAGCAAAUGUCUCGUUUGGCUGAAGUGGACUAGCUUUAUGUGGGGUUAGGCUCAAGCAGUUGCUUUUAGUUGGUCAGGUAUUUAUCAUUAGUAGAAGCCAGAUUUUAGCAUUGACCAACCCGUAAACCAUUUCCUCAUCGAGGAAACAACAUCAUCAUAGUCGAACCAAAACCAUAACAUAAUCCUUGUAUCUCGAACCAUCUGUAUCUCUAAUCAAAGAGGAUCCCAAGGCUGCUCUUAACCGUGAGCACGGCUGAUAUAUCAGUUUUCACUACCCUCUGCAGAGGUUGCACACUUUACCCAUGAGUCAUGAUUCCCUUUCUACCCGGGGAGAGCUAAUCCCCAUUGACCACUACCUAGGUGGUCCGGCAGGGCAUCACUACGUAGCCUUUACAAAGAUUCCCUAGAGAUCAUAGCUGCCCGUUAGGUUUCUCCAGUUUGAUAAACACAGUACCCCUCCCCGCAGGAGAGUGACUAACAAAGAGCAAAACGAAAGAACCUCGGCACUCAGCCUCGGCAGAGCAAGCACUGUGCCUGGACCCCAUUGACGGCACGACGGCUAAGCAACUACACCUCCAGUUCAUCUAAUUAAUCAGCUAAGUGCAUCCCAUUUCACCCUCAUGGUUGUACUGUUAUCCCGGGUGGUCUCUCAACGAACAAGUCCUUACGGAGAGGUACUCAGGAAACAGCCUGAGCCCCCUAGAGUAUCACAAGAUCAUCAACAUCAUCAAGAUAACAGUAUCAUAAAUAGUCACAUCAUGUUCAUUGAUUAAGUUAAGGCAAUAGCAGAGUGCUAACCAUAACAACCCAUAAGGUCAUCAAGGAUAAAGUAAAGUGUAAAGCUAGUCAAUCCUUAGGUUUCAAGUAAGUAAUGCGGGAUGGUAAGUUAUAAGUAGAUAGGACAUAAUGGGUCAGAGGACACUUGCCUUCACCAAACUGCUGAUCAGGGACUUCCUCUGCAACUUCCUCGGGAAACACAGACUGCUCGUUGUCUACGUAAAGUAAUCAUUCACACUAUGCACUUGGGAGGAUAACAAACAAAAGCAACAUACCAAACAUAUGCAGCAAAGAGAUCACAAGUUCAUAGUAGAAAAGGGAUAGGCACUCUGGUGUUCCCUAGGUCUGGGUAGAGGACUAUACAAAGUGAUUCAUUAUCCCCUAAUCAGGUUUAAGUCAGUGGUGGGAUUAAAUCACUACAUGGUUUUAAGUUCCUAAACUUAGGUGUUUAAGUCCAUAAACUUAAGUAUUCUAACUUUUAUUAAAGUCUACCAACUUCUAAUUAUUUCAAAUAGGGUUCCAAUAGCCUUAAUCCUAUCCUAGUGAUUAACUAUUAAUUGGUACAUGGAAACAGCAGGGAAACAUUGUUUAAAUAGAUAGACAAAAACAUCAUGAGCAUUUUGCAAUUUGAAGCACCUAAUUUGGAGUUCAUAUGACAAAGUUAUGAAUUUUACAAGUUUAGGGGUUAAAAAUAUACCCUAAAUACCUAUUUUGAAUUAAAUAAAAGGUCCACGGGCCUAACUGAGAGAAACCAGGGACGGCGGGUUCAAAUUCUAGAAAACCGGGGGUCUCUUUAAGAAAAUGCGCAGGCGAAGGGGUAUCGGGCUACUACGGCCGUCGGAUCUAAGGCGAACGGCCAGGAUUAGAUCCUGCGGGCGGGCGCGCGAGCGCGCGGCGGCCUGGGCGGCUGACAGGCGGGGCCGGCGGGCAGAGCGGGGCGCGGGCAGGCUGACAGGCGGGGCCGGCGGGCAGCGCGGGGCGCGGGCAGGCUGACAGGCGGGGCCAGCGGGCAGAGCGAGCGCGCGGGCGGGCUGACAGGCGGGGCCCAAACGGCAGGGAGACGGGGUGCGGGGGAAGUGGGCCUGGGCCGCUGGAUCUCCGGCGGACGGCCAGGAUUAGGCUUGACCUAAUUAAAACGGGACCGCCCGAUCUGGGACGGACGGUGGGGAUCGGGUGGCCGGCCUGGGCUUCUCCUACGGCUAGCUGGGGCGGCGGCGCUCGUCCCCGCGGCGGAGGACUCGCCGGAGACGAGGGGCGCUGGCGUUUGGCGGGCCUCCGAGGCGACCUGAGCGGCCGGGAAGGUUGGGGAGGGCACGGGGAGUCCUCUGGUGGGGUCUGGGUCGGGGCAGGGGCACCGGAGGGGGGUGGUUCACGGCGGAGCGGCUCGGCGGCGGCAUAAAUCUACUCCGGCGAGGAAUUAAACAUGGCAGAAGGCAAUACACGGGUCGAUAGGGGUCGGGAGAGGUUCCUUACCUCAAGGCGGGCUCCGGGGACUCCUCGGCGGCGGCAAUGGCUCGACGGUGCCCCGGGGCGACGGUGGCGGACCUCCGCGGCUGCACGGGGAACGGCGGGUGAGCGCGGGCAGAGAGAAAUAGGGAGGGGGAGAGGGAAUUGGGGCGCGUCCCGGGUUGCGGACGCCGGGGCGAAGCUCACCGUGGCAACGGGCACGGCGGAGCUCCAACGGCGGCCGGGAAACGGGCUCGGGACGGCGGGGGUUUGUGGCGGCGGUGCUCUGGCGUGCGCGCAGCGAGGGAGAGGUGGAAGAGGGGUCUGCUGGAGCGCAAAUGGGGGAGGGGGAGAGGGCGAGUGGGGCUCGGGGCUCAAGUGGCCAGGGGCGGGGCGGUUGCGAGCUCCACGCGCGACGUGGGCGCGGAGAAGGCGGCCGCGCGCAGCUCGGGCGGCGGUUACGCGAGGACGACGGGGCUGACAAGCCGGGCCCGCGAGCAGAGAGAGAGGGUAAAGCGGGGGCGGGCACGCGGAAGGCGGCCGCGCUGACGGGCGGGCCCGCCAGGGCAGAGAGAGCGGGGGGGGAGAGAGGCGCGCGCGGGGGAUGGGCUUAGUGGGCCGAAAGGCCGAGGGGCGGCGGGGUUGGGCUUCUUUCCUCUUUUCUUUUAUUCUGGAAUUGUUUUCUCUUUUCUUUUUAUUUUCUCUAUUUGAUUCAAAUCCAAGUGAGCCACAAAUUCAAAUUAGACUUUCCAAGAAUUAUGCACCAAGCAAAAGUGAAAUCUAGGGUUCAACAUGAUGCAACAAUUCAUACCCCCUAAGGGUUUAACCUAUUAAACUAUAAUUACAAAUAAAAUAAGCACUUUUCUCCUAUAGAAAUGAAAAAGAAAAGAAUAAGGAAGGAUGAGAAAAGGGAAGUAACACCUGAAUUUGUGAAUAUGAGCAAAGAAAUUUUAUACCCCCAAAUUCAGGGUGUUACAUUAUCCAUAGCCUACCUUGUUAACUUUGCAUUAUUCCUCCCGCUUGCUGAGCCCCGACCAUAAGUGAGCUCACCCCUAGCUAAUAUUUUGAUCAGAGGGCGAUGAUGAAGAAAUUGCAGAUGACGUUGAUGAAUAUUGAGUCUAACGGCGCCAGUCAUCUUCCUAUGGAAGAGUGUCCAUGUUUAAUUCUGUUGUACUUUGAUAAUGAUACUUUUUAAGAUACUAUGAUCUGAAUGAUGUAAUAAAGUUACUCUACUCUCUUUUACACCUUUAUUGCAUUGUCUUUUGAUAUAUACACUUGUGACGUCAACAUAUGUGUGGAAAAUGGAUCCUGGCACACAUAUGCUAUGCAUUCGGUUUUGCCCCUAAAACCGGGUGUGACAGAAGUGGUAUCAAAGCUAUGUUGACUCUAGGUCGUUAGACUAGUUAGAAAUGGAAACCCUAGUCUGUUCAAAAUAUGCCUAUUUUGCUCUUACAAAUUUAUUUUAUUAAUCUGACCUCUUUAAAAUUCAACUAAGUUAAUAUUUUCUCUUGUAGAUGCUGCGUACAAUCCAAAUCACCCGAGUCAACACCAACUACAUCCCUCUGCCACGGCAGGCUCCCAUCUACCCAGUGGUAGUCGAGGAAGUCCCUGUGGAUCUCCCUCGCCUUCAUGUGGAGAACGGAGUUGUUCUGGAGGACAGCUCAAAUGAGUUUCUGCGACGCCCACCCCGUUGGCAGAAUCACUAGCCUUCGCAGCUGGUUCGUCAUCUUCAGCUCCACCAGCACCAGCAGUCCAAGCACCUGCUCGUGGAGGCGACGAUCUGGAUGACUCUGAUGACGAUGAUAAAGACGAUGAAGAAGAAGAAGAGGAGGAGAACGUCAAUGAGGAAGCCAACGGUGAGCAGCAGGACCACUUCAUGGCGAUAUGGCCUGUCACCGAACAUUAUACUUCAAUGUUCGAGACGGGGCACUUCCCUAACCUGCUGCAGGAGGUUCUGCAUGCUUUGGGAACAUAUGUUCGACCCCUGUAUGAGACUAGGCAAGUGUCAGAGCCCCCACGGGCUUGCUACUACAUCACUCACAUUCAUGUCAGGGUGAUGGAUGCAGGGGAUAGAGGGUUCAGGACUCUAUCAGCUCAUGAGUCUCUGAUGCCGAUAUCCACCUACAAUGCUUCGGUCAGCGAUGUUGCUAGGCGAGCUCUAUGGCCUCUCAGCCACACUUACCAGCAGCAACUGCAUGACACGAAGUACAGGCAUCUUCCUCUACAUGUUCGUGGAGAAAGCCAGACCAGCAUUAUUCUAGGUGGAGCCGGAGAAGAUCGCCUCAACACCCUUGUUGGUGUGGUGGCAGGUCUUAACACCGACCUGGACAGUGCUACCCUGGACCUCUCCUGGGUACAUUUGGAGCUGGAGGAUGCACAUGCAAGGAUUGCAGCCCUGGAAGCUCAACUAGAAGGAAGGGAUCCUCUGAAGCUCAAGUCCCUGCCAUGGCUUUGUCCCCUCCUCGCAAGAGGAUCUUCUAUGGAGAACCAGGAUCCAUCACCAUGCUGCUAUAAAUUUUUCAAUUAUAUUGUAAUAUGUUAGUUUUCAUGUUAGACGACGAACAUUUUCCUUUUUAUAACCUUAUUCUUAUAAUAAUAACAACCAUUUGAUGGUGUUGUUUGCAAUGUUUGAUUUGGAUUUUUGCUUGAGUGCAAUGGUCUUAUGGAAUGAUGGCCAUAAGAACACUUAAAAAUAACAAAUAAACUUAACUUUAAUAAUAAGCUAUUCCCCCUAGAAUCUUUCUCUAAUUCUCACUUACCUAAGAAUUGCACUUUCUAACCAACCAUAUGGUGAACGCUCGUUUAGGUCCCACGAACAACAGAAACCAGCGUGUUGGUCAGCAGUUGCCACCACCGCCACCAAAUCCCCACAUGGAACAAUUCAUCGCAGCGCAAAUGCAGCUUCUGCAAGGACUCACUACUUCUGUGCAACAAAUACAACAAAAUUAGCAGAACCAGUAGAACCAGCAUCAAUAGCAGAAUGCACCUCAAGCUAGAGACAAGCACCAGGAUUUCAUGAGCCACCACCCGCCUGCUUUCUCUCAUGCGGUUGACCCCUUGGAUGCCGAUGACUGGCUUAAGGUCAUUGGGAAGAAACUGGACAUUACCCAAUGCAUUGACCGGGAGAAGGACUGUACGCUUCUAGAAGACUCGAAGGUGCCACGUCUGAUUGGUGGAAUGCCUUCACCGCGGCACAUGCUAAUGCUGACACCAUAACUUGGCAGGAAUUUCAGGAGAACUUCUAUGCUCAUCAUAUUCCCUCAGGAAUAAUGAAGCUUAAGAAGGAGUUCUUAUCCCUCACGCAAGGGAAUAUGUCCUUUAGUGGGUACCAUGAUCGCUUCACCCAGCUUUCAUGCUACGCCCCAAAAGAAGUGGACACUGACGAGAAGCGCCAAGAACGCUUCUUGGAAGGCUUGAUUGGGCCUUUAAACUAUCAGCUGCAAAGCCAUAGCUUUCCUAACUUCCAGGCUUUGCUUAACAAGGCAAUUGGCCUUGAAAGCAAAAGAAAAGAAUUGUUUGAUCAUAAGAGAAAGUUCCAAGGGCAGUCCAAUAGGAAUACCCGUCCAAACAACUCGUAGGGUUCUCAAUUCCGCUCUAGAAAUCAGAGUGGGAACAACAACUACCAAGUACAAUGCUCUGAACAACAUGGUCAGAGGAGCAACCAAUAUCAGAACCAGCAGAGGAACAACACUCAGACCGGUCAAAGGUCUAGUGGUUAUCAACAAAAGAAUCAAAGAAGCACUGUGAACACACCGACAAAAAAAAACAGCACAACUACUCCAGUCCAACCCAAUGGUUGUUUCAAGUGUGGCGAACUUGGCCACUAUGCUAACAACUACCCAAGGCGCAAUCAACAGACACCCUAGAGGAAUAGGAACCAAAGAGCUGAUCAGAAUACACCUGCUCAUGGAUCUGCAUAGAACAAGACUCUGCAGAACCAGAGUAACGGAAGAGUUAAUCAUGUGAUAGUAGAAUAAGUUCUUAAGGAUGCCGACAUGGUGUAUGGUAUGUUUCUUAUUAAUUCCAUACCUGCAUCAGUUUUAUUUGAUUCUGGAGCAUCUCACUCUUUCGUAACAAAAUCAUUUGUGGAAAAGCAUAAUAUAUAAAACUAUCUUUUGAAGAGGAAACUAUUAAUUCGAUCACCAGGAGGUGAACUUAGAGCCACUCACUCAUGCCCUCAGACUAAGAUUGAAAUUAGAGAAUAAGCUUUCUAGUAGAGCUGAUAAUCUUGGAAUUGAUGUGAUACUUGGAAUAAACUACUUAACCAAGUAUGAUGGAGUAAUAUCUUGUGCUAAGAGGAUGGUUACAUUAUCCAGUCCACAAGGAGAAAGAAUUGAAGUCAAUGUCAGUAUGCCAGCAACAGUAGAAGCCAUGGUAAAUCAAUUGGAGGAGAAAUCUUUAGAACACAUCAGAAUAGUGUGUGAAUACCCAGACGUAUUUUCGGAAGAAUUACCAGGUAUGCCACCUGAUUGUGAUAUAGAGUUUAUUAUUGAAUUAUUACCCGGAACUACACCGAUUUCAAAAAGAGCUUACCGAAUGGAUGUCAAAGAUUUAAUUGAACUGAAGAAACAAAUAGAAGAAUUACUAGAAAAAGGUUUUAUUCGCCCCAGUUCAUCUCCAUGGGGAUCCCCAGUUCUAUUUGUGAACAAGAAAGCUGGUUCAAGGAGAAUGUGUGUCGACUAUAGAAGCUUGAACGAAGUAACAAUUAAGAACAAAUACCCAUUACCUCGGAUUGAAGAUUUGUUUGAUCAGAUGAGAGGAGCUAAAGUAUUCUCAAAAAUAGAUCUAAGAUAAGGCUAUCAUCAAUUGAAGAUUCGGACUGAAGAUGUACCUAAAACAGCCUUCACAACAAGAUAUGGACUAUAUGAGUUUUUGGUUAUGUCAUUUGGAUUAACCAAUGCAUUAACAUACUUUAUGAACCUGAUGAAUAAAGUAUUCAUGGAAUAUCUUAACCAGUUUGUUGUGGUACUCAUCGACGACAUACUUGUAUAUUCUCAAAAUGAAGAAGCACAUGAAAAUCAUCUGAGAUUAGUUCUACAGAAGCUUCGUGACAACCAAUUGUAUGUGAAAAUUUUGAAGUGUGAUUUUUGGCUGAAGGAAGUUGCUUUCCUAGGUCAUAUCAUCACCGAUGGAGGAAUCAAAGUAGACCCCGGUAAAAUAAGUGAAAUACUAAAUUGGAAACAACCCACAAAUGUGUCCAAGAUCAGGUGUUUUCUUGGAUUAGCAAGAUACUAUAGAAGAUUCAUUGACGGCAUCUCCAAAAUAGUGAAACCCCUUACUUCACUGUUGGAGAAAGUUAAAGAGUUUAAGUGGGAUAAAGCAUGUCAUAAAUGUUUUGAUGAGUUAAAGGAAAGGCUAACCACUGCACCAGUGUUGAUUAUGCCUGAUAUUCACAAAGGAUUUGAUGUGUAUUGAGAUGCAUCACAUCUAGGACAUGGAUGUUGUUAAUGCAAGAAGAAAAAGUAAUUGCUUAUGCCUCAAGGCAGUUACAGAAACAUGAAAAGAAUUAUCCUACGCAUGAUUUGGAAUUAGCUGUCGUAGUGCACGCUUUGAAGAUUUGGAGGCACUACAUGAUUGGAAACAAGUGUAAAAUCUUCACGGAUCACAAAAGCUUGAAAUAUAUCUUCACGCAGAACGAACUCAACCUAAGACAUCGAAGAUGGCUUGAGUUAAUUAAGGACUAUGAUUUGGAAAUACAUUAUCACCCAAGAAAAGCAAAUGUAGUGGCAGAUGCUUUGAGCCGUAAAGGUCAAGUAAACUGUAUCACUACUCAUUUGAUGCCACAGGAAUUGUGCUGGGAAAUGGAACAACUCAACCUUGGUAUGCUCAAUAAUAUGGAAGCAACAAUUAUGGAAGUGGAAUCUACUUUGGAACAGGAGAUUCGUAAAGGACAAGAAUUCGAUGAGAAAAUCAAGGAAAUUAAGGCACAUGUUAAUUUGUGAAAGACCUCGAAUUUCACCAAAGGCGAACAAGGCACAGUAUGGUUUAAAAAGAGAAUUUGUGUACUAGAAAUCGAGCACCUACACCAACUUAUCUUGAGAGAAGCUCAUGAUUCGGCUUAUUCUAUUCACCCUGGAAGUACUAAGAUGUACCAGGACCUGAAGGAAAAGUAUUGGUGGUACGGUUUGAAAAGGGAUGGUGCUACUUACGUUGCACUAUGUGAUGUGUGUCAACGAGUUAAAGUCGAACACCAAAGACCAGGAGGAUUGCUACAACCUCUCAAAGUACUGGAAUGAAAAUGGGAAGAAAUCAGUAUGGAUUUCAUAGUUGGACUACCCCGUACUUAUGAUGGCUAUGAUUCCAUAUGGGUUAUAGUAGACAGGUUGACUAAAGUGGCACACUUUAUACCUGUAAAGACAAUGUACUCGGGAGCCCAGUUAGCAGAGUUAUACAUGUCAAGGAUUGUUUGUCUGCAUGGAGUACCGAAGAAGAUCGUAUCAGAUCGAGGAACCCAAUUUACCUCGCGCUUUUGGAAAAGACUACAUGAGUCCAUGGAUACCAAGCUAAACUUCAGCUCAGCCUAUCUUCCGCAAACAGAUGGACAAACGGAAAGAACAAACCAAGUGUUGAAAGAUAUGUUAAGAGCUUGUGCUUUAAAGCAUGGUAGAAAUUGGGAUAAGAGUUUGCCUUAUGCAGAAUUCUCGUAUAACAAUAGUUACCAAGCAAGUCUAAAAAUGGCACAGUUUGAGGCACUUUAUGGACGGAAAUGUAGAACAUCGCUUUAUUGGAAUCAGACCGGUGAAAGUCAAGUAUUUGGUCCAGAAAUUCUCCAAGAAGCAGAAAAGCAAGUACAGAUUGUCAGAGAGAACAUGAAAACAACACAAUCGAGAUAGAAAAGAUAUGCUGACAAUAGAAGCAGAGAGUUGAUCUUUGAAGUUGGAGACUUCGUAUACCUUAAGGUUUCACCAAUGAGAGGAAUGAAAAGAUUUAAGGUUAAGGGUAAACUAUCUCCCCGCUACAUUGGCCCAUUCAAAAUUUUGGAAAGAAAGGUGAAGUAGUGUAUCAAUUAGAGCUACCGAUAGUUUAUCGGACGUGCAUGACGUAUUUCAUGUGUCACAACUUAAGAAAUGCUUAAGAGUGCCUAAGGAACAAUUACCUAUGGAAGAACUCAAUGUUAAUGAGGAUUUGACUUAUUCGUAGUAUCCUAUCAGAAUUUAGGAAACGUCCCACAGAAUUACCUAGAGUAAAGUAAUCAACAUGUGUAAAGUUCAGUGGAGUCAUCAUUCGGAAGAUGAAGUCACUUGGGAAAGAGAAGAUGAACUCAGAGCAGAAUUUCCCAGUUACUGUCAGAAGUUCCUUAAUCUUGAGGACGAGAUUCUUUUUAGGGGGUAGGUUUGUAACACCUUAAAACCAUCAACUAAAAAUAAUACAUUUAGAAUAUUAGUAGUAAUAAUAGUAAAGAAUUUUUAUUCAAGUGUUUGAUUUUAUUUGCCUUUAGAAUAAUUUUUGUUUGCUCAUAUUUAAUUUAUGGUUGUUUUGUAGAAUUUAUUUUAUAUUAAAAGCACAAGUAAUUAAUAUGAAAACAUUGGUCCAAAAAUUAGUAUUUUAAUUGUAAAUAAUUUUGGUAUAAUUAUUAUUAUUUUUAAAUAUAAUUAAAAAUGUAUUUAUUUAUAUUUUAAUGGAAAAAAAGACAAACCCUAGCCGGAUCGGUUGAACCGGCCCAAUAAGGCAGUUGAACGGGCCCAGCCCAGCAGUCUUUUCCCUCUCCCUCUCACUUGCCCGUGGGCCCCACCCACAGGGGGGCCUUCUUCCAUCUAUGGCCGCUCCGCCACGUGCCUUAGGUACGCGCCCGCGCCGUGCCCCCGGCCGAGCCCGACCCCGCGCCCCUAGCUGAACUAGACCGUGUCCCCUCAUCUCCCUCACGCGCCUGAAACUGCCAUCUCCUCCCCUUCCUCUCCCCCUCAUAACCUCCCUCAAUCAAAGGUGUAACCAGCGCCAUUAAUGGCUGAUUGAUAGAGCCGUCGACGCCCCUUUACCUCCCCUGGCGUCUCUCUCUCCCCUCCCCUCUCUAUAAGUAGACCGGCCAAGAUCUGCUCCCUCCCUGCCAGAUUCGCUCAAGCUCUCCCUCUCCUCUCUCCCUCUGCCCGCGCUCGCGCUCUGCUCAUCAAAGUUCCUGCGCGCCUCGCCAUAACCGCCGGAGCCGCGCCCUGCUCGUCGAGCCGCCACGCCGGAGCCCCGCCCGAUGCCGAGACCCCAUGUCCCGCUCCCUGCUCGGCCGAACCCCCCUGCCGCCGUCGAACCUCCCUGUCCGUCGAGCUCCCUGCACACGAGCACGAGGUCAAGGUAGAAGAAAGCCAUUUUUCAUUUUGCCCUCCGGUUUUCUGUAAAAUAUUCCUAUAUUUUCUGCAGUACAAAUGUUUUUAAAAGAAGUCCAAAAAUCUUAUGUACUACUCCUCGAAGUAUACGUGUAAUUGUGAAUCAACACCGGAAAUAGUAUUUUGGAUAUGGACAUUAUUUUAUAAUUCGAAAAAUAAAUAGGUUAUGUCACGAUUCUUUAAUUUUGUGAUGUAGAACUAGAAACGCAUGCGACUAACUUCUCCAUGUUAGCACAUAAAACGAUAUAUGUUAAUAGUGGUUAAGUAAAAUUUUACUGAUAUAAGAAAAUGAAAGAGUUACUAGCCACUUCUUGUCGGUCAGGUUAAAAUAUAGACUUUCACUAAUUAGGAUAUAAGUAUUCGUACGUAUAUCGAUUAAUCACUUAGAAUUAGUAAAAUAUCUAUUCAUGACGAAAUAACUACGAUUAUGCUACUAAAGUCCAAAAUUAGUAAUUUACAUUAAUUCUUAGAAUAUUAAUGUUAUGUGAUUUAUAAAUAAACAUUUUAGCAAUGCGUAUAAUUUCUAUUUAGAAAGGAAAGGAUAAAACCGAAAAGACUAUUAUUAGUCAUAAAGAAAAAUAAUUAAUUAGUAUUUAUUUUCUGUAAAAUUUGUAAAUCAUUUAUCUAUGUUAUGUUAGAUAAAAAUAGCUUCGUAGUCACAUGCCCAUAUAAUUUUCACCCAUCAUAACUCAAAGUGGAAAAUUUAGUGGAUUAAUAAAAUAGUUUUGAUUUAGACAUUAUUUAUAAGUUAUAAUUGCGUGAUAUGUGAUUGUUUAUGUAAUGGUGAAUGCUACCCAUGUAAUGGUGUAUGUUUAUUAUUUGGCGUAUGUAUCUUUUGUAUGUACGAUAUGUGAAUUGAUGUUAGAAGCUGAAUGUGAGGUAGAUGAACCAAACUCAUUCGAGGACGACCCGCAAGACACGUUCGAGCAAGGCAAGUGGAUUCUCCCUCUGCAUUUAUUUUUGUACCCAUGUAAUGCAUAUAAUAAUGUUUACUUUCGGAUGUUGCAUAAUUUGCUGGGAUUUUCCUAAUAGGAUUUCCUAGAAUUACCAACCCUAUUCCUGAUUACCCUGGGAUAAAUACUAUGCUUAACAAUUUUUGCUAUUGCUCAACUUGACAAUUAAGAUGUCACUCUUUUAAUGAUACUAUGUUUUGGAAAUGAAGUUUAUAUUAUGAUGUUAACCCGAUGGUUAAACAAGAUCAUUUCGUAUUAAAUGGAACAUGGAGUGACCACCUAGGAUAAUCGUGCAACCACGAGUGCUAUAAUGGCUCUGGCUUGGUCAUUAGCUCUAUAGACUUAGUGCUUAGAAACCAUACAUGAAAGAUGGGCAAGCGGGGGCGGCAGUGGUUGGUGGCAGCUCAUGUUAACAUGGGGUGAUAGUCUGGCUAAGUACCUCACCAAGAGGCCAUCAAUACUGACGUGGAAACCUAGCGGGUGGCUUUGUACUAAGGAUUUUUGUGAAAGCCUCAUAGUGGAUCCCUAGACAUUCACCUAGGAAGUGUUUAUGGGUCCGAUCAACCUAGGCUAGAUGGAUACACGGCUUGUGGGUAAAGUUGUACCACCUCUGCAGAGUGUAAAACCGACAUGUCAGUCGUGCUCACGGUUAAGAGCACCUUGGACCCUCACAUGAUAAUUGAACUUAAAGAUGGAAAAUAAAUUGUGAUUCGAUGAUCCACAAGUGCUUUGCUUAAGUGAUUUCACUUAAGUGUUUAGAGAUAUAUCAUGUACUUAUGUUUAAUUGGGAAUUUUUGGAUACACUUACAACUAGUAAGUCAGGUGUUGUUAAUAAAAUAUUGACCAACUAAAAUGCUUACCGCUUAUCCAUAGCCUACCUUGUUAACUUUGCAUUAUUCUCCACUUGUUGAGCCCCGACCAUAAGUGAGCUCACCCCUUGCUAAUAGUUUGAUCAGAGGGCGAUGCUGAAGAAAUUGCAGAUGACGUUGAUGAAUAUUGAGUCUAACGAUGCGCCAGUCACCUUCCUGUGGAAGAGUGUCCAUGUUUAAUUCGUUGUACUUGAUAAUGAUACUUUUUAAGAUACUAUGAUCUGAAUGAUGUAAUAAAGUUACUCUACUCUCUUUUACGCCUUUAUUGCAUUGUCUUUUGAUAUAUACACUUGUGACGUCAACAUAUGUGUGGAAAAUGGAUCCUGGCAACACAUAUACUAUGCAUUCGGUUUGCCCCAAAACUGGGUGUGACAAUCGGACACUCUAUUGUUCACUGUCCGAUGAGUGCCACGUCAGCUGACCGUGGGGUUUGGAGCUAUUGCUCGUUAUAGUCUUAUGUCCUUGUGGUGCACUAGACAGCCCGUGGCACACAAGACAGUUCGGUGCGACCUAUCGUCACAAACUAUCAUCUGACUUCUGAAGUUGUAGACUGCUCAGCAUCCACGGCAGUCGACCGUUGGCGAAGAUGACCAUUGCUCGUGGUCACACCGGACAGUCCGGUGGCACACCCGACAAUUUGGUGAUCUUUAGUGGAUGAGCACUGAGAAUUCUCGAGAGCGGCUAGUUGACGGAGUGCUCCAGCCAGGGCACCGGACAGUCUGGUGCGCCACUGGUUGCAACAAGUCUGUUUUGCUCCAAACUUGUAGAAUUGCCCCAAAGUCAUUUCUUUGUAUGUGAUAUGAACUUUAGCACUUGAGAAAAAUAUCAACUAGGAAAACUAGUUAGUCCAUACGGUUUUUGAUGGACGUCAAACACCAAAAUCGAUUAAGGAAAUGUUUAGGAUAUUUCCCUUUCACAGUGUUUUAUAACAAUUCGUGAAAUAUCAAAUUCAAGCCUAUGAUAAGUGGCACCAACAUUUUUCUAAACCGAAUGUCAUGACAACCCAUUCAGCUAAACUAAUGAAGCCUGGGCAUAUAAAUACCGUUUAGACGCAUCUUCUUCGGCAUGAAAAUUUGAUUAUAUCCGGCAUUACCAUUAAGAAAGCUAAUAACUCUAUAUCCUAAUUCGUUAUUAAUUAACAUGUCGGCUACAAGCAUAGGAUAUUCAUCUUUAAGAGUUGCUCUAUUAAAUUGCGAAAAUCAAUACACACUCUGAGCUUACUAGACUCCUUCACUGACACAAUAUUAGAGACCCACUCUACGUAUCUGCAAGGCCUAAAAUAGCUUCUAAGAGUCGGUGAAUUUCAUCCUAAUCCUUAGGAGUAGUCCGACGAAAGACUCGUACCUGCUUAAAGGACCUGAAUCGGACUUAAUAGGCAACCGAUGCUCCACUAGCUCUCAGCUUAAUCCUGGCAUCUCAUUGUAACUCCAAGCAAAGCANNNNNNNNNNNNNNNNNNNNNNNNNNNNNNNNNNNNNNNNNNNNNNNNNNNNNNNNNNNNNNNNNNNNNNNNNNNNNNNNNNNNNNNNNNNNNNNNNNNNUCUAACGGCGCCAGUCAUCUUCCUAUGGAAGUAGUGUGGCCAUGUUUAAUUCUGUUGUACUUUGAUAAUGAUACUUUUUAAGAUACUAUGAUCUGAAUGAUGUAAUAAAGUUACUCUACUCUCUUUUACACCUUUAUUGCAUUGUCUUUUGAUAUAUACACUUGUGACGUCAACAUAUGUGUGGAAAAUGGAUCCUGGCACACAUAAUGCUAUGCAUUCGGUUUUGCCCCUAAACACCGGGUUUGACAGAAGUGGUAUCAAAGCUAUGUUGACUCUAGGUCUUAGACUAGUUAGAAAUGGAAAACCCUAGUCUGUCUCAAAAUAUGCCUAUUUUGCUCUUACAAUAGUAUAUUUAUUAAUCUGACCUCUUUAAAUUCAACUAAGUUAAUAUUUCUCUUGUAGAUGCUGCGUACAAUCCAAAUCACCCGAGUCAACACCACACUACAUCCCUCUGCCACGGCAGGCUCCCAUCUACCCAGUGGUAGUCGAGGAAGUCCCUGGGAUCUCCCUCGCCUUCAUGUGAGAACGGAGUUGUUCUGGAGGACAGCUCAAAUGAGUUUCUGCGACGCCCACCCGUUGGCAGAAUCACUAGCCUUCGCAGCUGGUUCGUCAUCUUCAGCUCCACCAGCACCAGCAGUCCAAGCACCUGCUCGUGGAGGCGACGAUCUGGAUGACUCUGAUGACGAUGAUAAAGACGAUGAGAAGAAGAAGAGGAGGAGAACGUCAAUGAGGAAGCCAACGGUGAGCAGCAGGACCACUUCAUGGCGAUAUGGCUGUCACCGAACAUUAUACUUCAAUGUUCGAGACGGGCACUUCCCUAACCUGCUGCAGGAGGUUCUGCAUGCUUUGGGAACAUAUGUUCGACCCUGUAUGAGACUAGGCAAGUGUCAGAGCCCCACGGGCUUGCUACUACAUCACUCACAUUCAUGUCAGGGUGAUGGAUGCAGGGGAUAGAGGGUUCAGGACUCUAUCAGCUCAUGAGUUCUGAUGCCGAUAUCCACCUACAAUGCUUCGGUCAGCGAUGUUGCUAGGCGAGCUCUAUGGCCUCUCAGCCACACUUACCAGCAGCAACUGCAUGACACGAAGUACAGGCAUCUUCCUCUACAUGUUCGUGGAGAAAGCCAGACCAGCAUUAUUCUAGGUGGAGCCGGAGAAGAUCGCCUCAACACCCUUGUUGGUGUGGUGGCAGUCUUAACACCGACCUGGACAGUGCUACCCUGGACCUCUCCUGGGUACAUUUGGAGCUGGAGGAUGCACAUGCAAGGAUUGCAGCCCUGGAAGCUCAACUAGAAGGAAGGGAUCCUCUGAAGCUCAAGUCCCUGCCAUGGCUUUGUCCCUCCUCGCAAGAGGAUCUUCUAUGGAGAACCAGGAUCCAUCACCAUGCUGCUAUAAAUUUUUCAAUUAUAUUGUAAUAUGUUAGUUUUCAUGUUAGACGACGACAUUUUCCUUUUUAUAACCUUAUUCUUAUAAUAAUAACAACCAUUUGAUGGUGUUGUUUGCAAUGUUUGAUUUGGAUUUUUGCUUGAGUGCAAUGGUCUUAUGGAAUGAUGGCCAUAAGAACACUUAAAAAUAACAAAUAACUUAACUUUAAUAAUAAGCUAUUCCCCUAGAAUCUUUCUCUAAUUCUCACUUACCUAAGAAUUGCACUUUCUAACCAACCAUAUGGUGAACGCUCGUUUAGGUCCCACGAACAACAGAAACCAGCGUGUUGGUCAGCAGUUGCCACCACCGCACCAAAUCCCCACAUGGAACAAUUCAUCGCAGCGCAAAUGCAGCUUCUGCAAGGACUCACUACUUCUGUGCAACAAUACAACAAAAUUAGCAGAACCAGUAGAACCAGCAUCAAUAGCAGAAUGCACCUCAAGCUAGAGACAAGCACCAGGAUUUCAUGAGCCACCACCCGCCUGCUUUCUCUCAUGCGGUUGACCCCUUGGAUGCCGAUGACUGGCUUAAGGUCAUUGGGAAGAAACUGGACAUUACCCAAUGCAUUGACCGGGAGAAGGACUGUACGCUUCUAGAAGACUCGAAGGUGCCACGUCUGAUUGGUGGAAUGCCUUCACCGCGGCACAUGCUAAUGCUGACACCAUAACUUGGCAGGAAUUUCAGGAGAACUUCUAUGCUCAUCAUAUUCCCUCAGGAAUAAUGAAGCUUAAGAAGGAGUUCUUAUCCCUCACGCAAGGGAAUAUGUCCUUUAGUGGGUACCAUGAUCGCUUCACCCAGCUUUCAUGCUACGCCCAAAAGAAGUGGACACUGACGAGAAGCGCCAAGAACGCUUCUUGGAAGGCUUGAUUGGGCCUUUAAACUAUCAGCUGCAAAGCCAUAGCUUUCCUAACUUCCAGGCUUUGCUUAACAAGGCAAUUGGCCUUGAAAGCAAAAGAAAAGAAUUGUUUGAUCAUAAGAGAAAGUUCCAAGGGCAGUCCAAUAGGAAUACCCGUCCAAACAACUCGUAGGGUUCUCAAUUCCGCUCUAGAAAUCAGAGUGGGAACAACAACUACCAAGUACAAUGCUCUGAACAACAUGGUCAGAGGAGCAACCAAUAUCAGAACCAGCAGAGGAACAACACUCAGACCGGUCAAAGGUCUAGUGGUUAUCAACAAAAGAAUCAAAGAAGCACUGUGAACACACCGACAAAAAAAAAA